UCUCAGCUUAGGAUGAACACUAGCAGCAUGCUUAAUACAUUUAAAUCAGACAAGAAAUGGUGUUUCCAGUUGCAGAUGGGUGAGUAACGCGUAAGAAUCUACCCUUGGGAGGGGAACAACAGCUGGAAACGACUAGUAAUACCCCGUAGGCCGAGGAGUAAAAGGAGGAAUCCGCUCGAGGAGGGGGUCGCGUUUGAUUAGCUACUCAAUGAGGAAAUAGCUUACCAAGGCAAAGAUCAGUCACUGGUUUGAGCAGAUGAUCAACCACACUGAGACUAAGGCAUGGCCUAAACUCCUACGGGAAGCAGCAGUGGGGAAUUUUCUGCAACGGGCGAAAGCUUGAUGGAGCAAUGCCGUGUGGAGGUAGAAGGCCUAUGGGUCGGGAACUUCUUUUCCCGGAGAAGAAACAAUGGUAUAUACGGAAUAAGCAUCGGCUAACUCUGUGCUAGCAGCCGUGGUAAUACAGAGGAUACAAGCGUUAUCCAGAAUGAUUGGGCAUAAAGCGUCUGUUGGUGGCUUUUUAAGUCUGCUGACAAAUCCAAGGGCUCAACCCUUGAUAGGCAGUGGAACCUACCAAGCUGGAGUACAGUAGGGGCAAAGGGAAUUUUUUGGUGGAGCGAUGAAUUGUGUAAAUAUCAGAAAGAACACCAACGGCGAAGGCACUCUGCUAGGCUGACACUGACACUGAUAGAUGAAAGCUAGGGGAGCGAAUGGGAUUAGAUACCCCAGUAAUCCUAGCUAUAAACGAUGGAUACUAAGCUCUGUGCAUAUCGACCCGUGCAAUGCUAUAGCUAAUGCGUUAAGUAUCUCACUUGGAGAGUAUGUUCACAAGAAUGAAACUCAAAGGAAUUGAUGGGGGCCCGCACAAGCGGUGGAGCAUGUGGUUUAAUUUGAUGCAAAACGAAGAACCUUACCAGGGCUUGACAUGCCGCGAAUCCUCUUGAAAGAGAAGGGUACCAUCGGGAACACGAACACAAGUGGUGCAUGGCUGUCGUCAGUUCGUGCCAUAAGGUGUUGGGUUAAGUCCUGCAACAAGCACAACCCUCAUGUUUAGUUACCACUGUUGAGUUUGGAACCCUGAGUAAACUGCCGAUGAUAAGCGGAGGAAGGUGAGGAUGACAUCAAGUCAUCAUGCCUCUUAUGCCCUGGGCAACACAGGUGCUACAAUGGCCGAGACAAAAAGUUGCAAUCCAGCGAAGGUGAGCUAGCUCUAAAAACUCAUCCUCAAUUCGGAUUAUAGGCUACAACUCGCCUAUAUAAAGCUGGAAUCGCUAGUACACACUACUCGUCACACUAUGAGAGCUGGCCAUGCCUGAAGUCCUUACAUUAACUGCAAAGGGGGGGGACGCCGAAGGCAGGGCUGGUGAUUGGAGUGAAGUCAUAACAAGGUAGCCCUACGAGAAGGUGCGGUUG
rnacentral:rRNA from 1 species